rnacentral:lncRNA from 1 species
CAAUUCUGUUGUUAUGAUAUUCUGUUGUGUUCCUUUUUGUGAAACUUGAGUUCUGUCCACUGCCAAUAAAAAUUUUCAGAAAUUUCUUCAGUUCGCCCCGCGACCAGCUUUCGCCUCGCGAACUGAAUGGAAAACCUCAGUUCGCGCCGCGAACAGAGUUCGCCCAGCGAACUGAGCGUGGCAGAACCAUUUAAGUUCUGUUUAGGUUAUUUUCAGUUCAUUCUUAUUUUCACAACCUUAAACCUUUCUUCAAC